GGAUUGUUCACCCACCAAUAGGGAACGUGAGCUGGGUUUCGACCGUCGUGAGACAGGUUAGUUUUACACUACUGAUGACAGUGACGCAAUAGUAAUUCAACCUAGUAUGAGAGGAACCGUUGAUUUGCACAAUUGGUCAUCGCGCUUGGUUGAAAAGCUAGUGGCGCGAAGCUACCGUGCGCUGGAUUAUAACUGAAAGCCUCUAAGUCAGAAUUUGGGCUAGAAGCGACGCAUAUGCCCGCCGACCUGCAGUAGGGGCCAUCCGGCCCCCAAAGGCACGUGUCGUUGGUGAAGCUUGCGAGGCGGAUGAGCCGCGCGGGCCGCCUUGAAGUACAAUUCCUAUCUCGAGCGGCGGGUAGAAUCCUCUGCAGACGACUUAAAUACGCGACGGGGUAUUGUAAGUGGAAGUCUGGCCUUGCUGCUACGAUCCACUGAGAUUCAGUCCUGCGUCGCUCCGAUUCGUCCCUCCC
rnacentral:rRNA from 1 species